UCAGACGUGGUGUAUGGUGCACACUCACUCUCUUUAGAAGAAUUGGGACCAGAAGUUGGUGCGGGAAGCCUGGGUUCGAUCCCCAGCGUCUGAA